GGCCGGGUGUCUGCGGCUAUACAAUACCCGAAAGGGGAAGGCCGUAGGCGGGACCAGUGACCGUGUUCAAACACCCGGUCUCGCCCCU
rnacentral:ncRNA from 1 species